UAGUGCGGGUUUUGUGUCUUAGAGCC
rnacentral:piRNA from 1 species